GGUGAGGUGGCCGAGUGGUUAUGGCGCUGCGUUUAGGUUCUCCUGAACAAUAAUCCGCAGUGGGCAACCGCGUGGGUUCGAAUCCCACCCUCAUCA